rnacentral:rRNA from 1 species
UGGCGGCAGGCCUAACACAUGCAAGUCGAACGGUAGCACAGGAGAGCUUGCUCUCUGGGUGACGAGUGGCGGACGGGUGAGUAAUGCAUGGGGAGCUGCCCAAUCGAGGGGGAUACCAGCUGGAAACGGCUGCUAAUACCGCAUACGCCCUGAGGGGGAAAGGUGGGGACCUUCGGGCCUACCGCGAUUGGAUGCACCCAUGUGGGAUUAGCUAGUUGGUGAGGUAACGGCUCACCAAGGCGACGAUCUCUAGCUGGUCUGAGAGGAUGACCAGCCACACUGGAACUGAGACACGGUCCAGACUCCUACGGGAGGCAGCAGUGGGGAAUAUUGCACAAUGGGGGAAACCCUGAUGCAGCCAUGCCGCGUGUGUGAAGAAGGCCUUCGGGUUGUAAAGCACUUUCAGUAGGGAGGAAGGGAUGAUGUCUAAUACGCAUCAUCAUUGACGUUACCUACAGAAGAAGCACCGGCUAACUCCGUGCCAGCAGCCGCGGUAAUACGGAGGGUGCAAGCGUUAAUCGGAAUAACUGGGCGUAAAGCGCACGCAGGCGGUUAGAUAAGUCAGAUGUGAAAUCCCCGGGCUCAACCUGGGAACUGCAUUUGAAACUGUCUGACUAGAGUCUUGUAGAG